GCCCCUGUCGUCUAGCUUGGUCUAGGACAUCGCGUUCUCAGCGCGGGAACCCGGGUUCAAAUCCCGGCGGGGGCA
rnacentral:tRNA from 2 species